GACGAACGCUGGCGGCGUGCCUAAUACAUGCAAGUAGAACGCUGAAGAGAGGAGCUUGCUCUUCUUGGAUGAGUUGCGAACGGGUGAGUAACGCGUAGGUAACCUGCCUUGUAGCGGGGGAUAACUAUUGGAAACGAUAGCUAAUACCGCAUAACAAUGGAUGACACAUGUCAUUUAUUUGAAAGGGGCAAUUGCUCCACUACAAGAUGGACCUGCGUUGUAUUAGCUAGUAGGUGAGGUAAUGGCUCACCUAGGCGACGAUACAUAGCCGACCUGAGAGGGUGAUCGGCCACACUGGGACUGAGACACGGCCCAGACUCCUACGGGAGGCAGCAGUAGGGAAUCUUCGGCAAUGGGGGCAACCCUGACCGAGCAACGCCGCGUGAGUGAAGAAGAUUUUCGGAUCGUAAAGCUCUGUUGUAAGUCAAGAACGGGUGUGAGAGUGGAAAGUUCACACUGUGACGGUAGCUUACCAGAAAGGGACGGCUAACUACGUGC
rnacentral:rRNA from 1 species